rnacentral:rRNA from 1 species
UACGUAGGGUGCAAGCGUUAAUCGGAAUUACUGGGCGUAAAGCGUGCGCUGGCGGUUUUGUAAGUCUGACGUGAAAUCCCCGGGCUCAACCUGGGAAUUGCGUUGGAGACUGCAAGGCUAGAAUCUGGCAGAGGGGGUAGAAUUCCACGUGUAGCAGUGAAAUGCGUAGAGAUGUGGAGGAACACCGAUGGCGAAGGCAGCCCCCUGGGUCAAGAUUGACGCUCAUGCACGAAAGCGUGGGGAGCAACAAGG